rnacentral:rRNA from 1 species
AACGAACGCUGGCGGCAGACUUAACACAUGCAAGUCGAACGCCCCGCAAGGGGAGUGGCAGACGGGUGAGUAACGCGUGGGGACAUACCCUUUGGUGCGGAACAACAACUGGAAACGGUUGCUAAUACCGCAUGAGCCCUACGGGGGAAAGAUUUAUCGCCAAAGGAUUGGCCCGCGUCGGAUUAGCUAGUUGGUGGGGUAAUGGCCUACCAAGGCGACGAUCCGUAGCUGGUCUGAGAGGAUGAUCAGCCACACUGGGACUGAGACACGGCCCAGACUCCUACGGGAGGCAGCAGUGGGGAAUAUUGGACAAUGGGCGCAAGCCUGAUCCAGCCAUGCCGCGUGAGUGAUGAAGGCCCUAGGGUUGUAAAGCUCUUUCAGCGAGGAGGAUAAUGACGUUACUCGCAGAAGAAGCCCCGGCUAACUUCGUGCCAGCAGCCGCCGCCG